GUCCCCUCGGGGACAUCCGAUAAAAUUGGAACAAUACAUAAAAGAUUAGCAUGACCCCUGCGCAAGGAUGACAUGCACAAAUCGAGAAAUGGUCCAAAUUUUA
rnacentral:snRNA from 1 species